AGCUAGUCCAGCUCGGAAAGAGCUUACGGAUAAAAAUGCCUUAGUGAAACAAAUAAAUCUAUAGGUCGAAAGUUCACAGCGGAUUCCUUAGGAAAAUUCCGAAGCACAUAGUUUAAGUGCUUCAUUCUUGAUCAACAGAGAUAAGUUCAAGUAUGAAUGAGAAACAAGAAGUGGUCCGAAUAAGUGAAAGUAAAAAUUCAUUAAAAGAAAAAAUAUAUAUGACAGUCUAUUCUAAUCACCUACUCUGAUGAAGGAAAAACUGUCCUUAAAGGACUUACAUGUCUAGGCAUAUUAUCAUCCACAUUUACAUCAUUAUCAUUUACACUAUUCACAUUACUGUCUAUGGGAGGACAGCCUCCUCUUGCUCAGACCCCC
rnacentral:lncRNA from 1 species